rnacentral:lncRNA from 1 species
CGGCUACCAGAUAGACAGCCAAUAAAAUCUGCCAGAUGUUCAGAAAGGCAAAAUUAACCUGGAAGUUGUGUAUGGAAUGGAUGAAGGGGAUGAGUUAUAAGGGGCAGUGCUGGAGAACACAGGGAGGAAGGGCAUCAACCAGAGCAUUAUUUUAAGAUGCUGGUCUCCUACUUGCAGCUCAGGAGGAGGGCUUCGUGAGUAACAAUUCUUCAGACAGUGGUUUGAACUUA